AUAAAACUUACCAGGAAAGGUGAAAGGAUCUUAACAUGUAUAGCUUGGAGGAAAGACGAGACAGGGGGGAUAUGAUAGAAACAUUUAAAUACAUAAAGGGAAUCAACACAGUAAAGGAGGAGACUAUAUUUAAAAGAAGAAAAACUACCACAACAAGAGUACAUAGUCUUAAAUUAGAGGGACAAAGGUUUAAAAAUAAUAUCAGGAAGUAUUACUUUACUGAGAGGGUAGUGGAUGCAUGGAAUAGCCUUCCAGCUGAAGUGGUAGAGGUUAACACAGUAAAGGAGUUUAAGCAUGCGUGGGAUAGGCAUAAGGCUACCCUAGAUUUAAGAUAAGGCCAGGGACCAGUGGCGUACAUACC